CGCGUGAAACCGCAUUCCCAAAUUCCCAAACGUUUUUGUCCACCAACCCAUCUAAUAUUCUAUAAUAUCUUGACUUGUCUCUCUUCUCUUCAUUAUCUGCUCUCAUUUCUUCGUGCUUCUCAACUCGCUUAUUCCACGAUGUGUCAGAAUGAAGCUACAGCGGAAUAUCCUUAUCCCAGUGAAUGGAACCCCCAACCAGCUGGCUGUAUUCAAUCCAUGGAUGAUCAUCAAUCCACCCAGCAAAAUCCUAUUCCUGUGAAGACUAAAUCCACGGGAUGGGGUGGCUGUUUGGGUGCUUGCUUUUGAGGAACGAUGCUUUAUUUGUGCUAUGUGCUUUUCUGAAUUUUUAUAUGGUAAUGGAAUGGGAUCGUGUAGUUUGAUUUUAUUAUCCAUUUUGGCUCAAUAAAUUGUUUGUUUACACAAUGAUUCACUUCGCUUGUUGGUAGCAAUAAUGCUGAAUAUAAUUUAUUUGUGGAUUA